UUGUUUUUGUGAGCUCUGAAAAAAAUUUGACUUUGAAAUAUUUUUACGAUUAAAAAGUUUCAGUUUACUUUUGAACGUUAACGAAGACGGACGUACUUUCGUGAGCUCUGACUAUUGAUGAAAAGUUUUGAGUUUUACUGACUUGUACUUUGAGAGUAAAAUUGACUUCGCGUUAUAGAAUAGCGACUUGGUACUCAGGUUGUUGAAUGACUGGAUGACUGUAGUGUUAGGUUAUUGUUAUGAGAUAACAACUUGACUUUGACUUGAGUUGUGAAAUAAAAUCAUACUCUUGAACGUUUAGUAUGGACUGACAACGAACUUUUGUGAGCGUUAUAUAUGAAAUGUUUGACUUACAUUAAUUUUUUUGAACGACUUGACUUCACUUUAAGUUUUGACAUCGGACUGAUCGGACGUGUUUUUUUAAGCCCUGACUGUUGUGAAUAAUUAAAUUUAUGUUGUGGUGUCAAGCGAUUGACUGUCAGUUGAGGUUCAGAUGUCGAGCUGUGCGGACGUGUUCAUCGAGCUGCUGUCUACAAAAAACGUGAGUACAAAUUUUUUUCGUUUUACUGUUUACAAGUUGCGUGAUGAUGUAUGAUGGUUGUAAUGUGUUGGGUAGAAAUUACUCAGUGCUGAUACAGUGUCGAUAUGUUGUGAUGAGCGAUAAUAGUGGAUGAUGGUGGAACAGAAUAUUCAUUGAGCUAUUUUGAGGAAGCGAACAUAUGAUGGAAAAAUGUUGCAAAAAUAUUAAAUGACAAUGUAUUGAAUCGCUUUUGUUGAUAUGUAUGAUAUUGAUUAAAUUGUAUUUGCAUGCUGUAACAUUUCUAUUCCAUUUCAGGGGGCUGUGGUGAGUAUUGUAGUAUAAAUUUGUUUCAAUAAAUCAUGAUGAAUGAAAACUGAUUUUGAUUCGUUUUGUACAGGUUUACUUGUAUAGAAGUGUAAUGCGUUGGGUAGAAAUUAGAAUCUACUCAGUACUGAUAUAGUGUCGAUAUGUUGUGAUUAGCGAUGAUGGUGUAUGAUGGUGGAACAGAACAUGAGCUACUUUGGGGAAACGAACAUAUGAUUGAACAAUGAUUGCAAACAUAUUAGAUGAAUGAUAUGAUAUUGCUUAAAUUGUAUUUGCAUGCUGUAACAUUUCUAUUUCAUUUCAGGGUGCUGUGGUGAGUACUGUAGAUUGUAGUGCAUAUGUAUAGAAUUCAAUAAAAGAUUAUGACUGAAAACUGCUUUUGAUUCUUAUUGUACAGUUUUAGGGAUUAUAAGUCUAUAGCAACUCUGUCGGUUGGUGUUCAUGAGUGUGAGCUUAAUACAGCAAUGUUUGAGUAGUACAAAAAUGUUUUCGCUUUUGUGGUCGCCAGCUGUCCGUGAUCUGUAAAGUGAAAAUACACAGAGCUAUGAAGCAUACAGAUGUUUCGAAAUUUUAUCAAUGAUUGUAUACUAUGCAUGUUUUGAUUUAGUUCGUUUCAGAUUUGACAUGAGAUGAAAACCUGACAUGAUUUGAACAGAGCUGGGAAAUGAAAAGAUUUUCAGAUGUGUGCUGGCAGUUCAAGUCUGGCAGCUGGAGUGAACAGUCGUGUUUUCUGGAGCUCCAACAAUAUGCUAGAAGGUAAGUAACUAUGUUUGUUUUGCAUUGCAUGUUUUUAUAUGUUUCAGACUUUCAAGCAGAGAUGUCAUGCUGACUGGAGUUGAGCACAGGGCAGUGACAAAGUGAAAGGUAAGUACUUUUGACUGAAUGUUUGUUCUAUGCAUGUUUUGUUUUAAUACAUUUCAGGAGUGCUUAUCCAGUGAUGAUAUGACAGUUGGAGUGAACAGUGGAGCCAAGCAGUCUUGUUUUUGGAGCUACUCAACAAGCCUUGAAGGUAAGUUUAGAAUUUCUCAAUGUUAGUGAAUUGAAGUACUGUCACUUGCUUUUGGACAGUCGAACAGAACAGACGUGGUUGCGAGAGCUCUCAUAUCUGUUGUGUUAAACUGUUUUUAUGAUAUGUUAUGUUUGUUUGUUUGUUUGUGAUGUACUAUUUUUCAGAUGCUGAUGGCAGUGAUGGGUUUUCAAGCUGACCUGAACAGAAAAGCAGUCAUAUGGUAAGUACAAAAUAGUUGUUAUAUGGGAUGUUUUGUGCAUGCUUUUAUGUUUCAGGUGUACUUGCUGACAGCGACGAAGACGAAUCAAGAAGAGGAACAUUGUUGAGACAGUGAUUGGGACUUGCAAACAGGGUAAGUGUAACACUUGUGUUUGUUUAAUUUGUAACAUGCGUGCUUUGCUCUGUUUCAGAUUUCACAUGCAGAAAUUAAACAGGAUCUCAACUGCUGAAACACAAUUCAUCAAAAGUAAGGUAAGUUUUAAUUCAUUGAUUUGAAUUGUACAAUGUGUUCUUUACUUUAUUUCAGAUUCGAGUCACUGGUUUACACAUGGAAGAAGAUUUCCACGUCUGUUACUCAACUCUACAGAAGCAAGGUAAGUCGAUCAAUUUUUUGUUUUAAUUUGUACUGCUGUAAUGUGAUGGUAAACUUAUGCUAUUUUUUAUGUGUGUCAUGUACAGAUGGAUAAUUCAAGUUUGAUCUGUGUUGGUUUAUGUUCAAAAACGUUUUACAUGUAUGUGUGUUUCCAGAUGUUUUGUUUCAGUUGAUGUCCAGAUGGCAAGCAGAACAGACGUGUUUCUUGGAUCUGCCAAACAGUGAGUACAAACGUUUUAUAUUUUUCAGUUGUGUACUCAUAGAAGUCUGUGAAAGAUGAUAGCAAGGGUAGAAUCUAUCAGUACUUGUGUCUAAAAAUGCUGAUGUGUGACGGUUUACUGAAAAGGGUAAAUGCUAGCCAGUACUUACACUUGAGCAACCGUGGGAUGUCGAACUAACUGAUGAUGUACUAUGAUGGUGAACACUUACUAUGUGUAUCAAAAUGCUUUUGUUGAUAUUUACUAUAGAUGAUUUGAUAUUGGUUAACAUUUGUUUGCAUGCUGUUAACAUUUCUAUUUCAUUUCAGGGAGCUGUGGUAAGUAUUGUAGUAUUAAUUUGUCUCAAUAAACGAUGAUGAAUGAAAACUGAUGUCGAUUCUUUUUGUACAGUUUUAGGUAUUAGCACUCUAUACAAAACUCUGUCGGUCGGUGUUUGUGAAUGUGAGCUUAAUGUUUGAGUAGAACAAAAAUGUCUUUACUUUUGUGAUCGCCAGUUGUCUGUGAUGUAAAGUGGAAAAAACACAGCUAUGAAGCAUACAAUUGUUUCAAUAUUUUAUCAAUGAUAGUGUGCUAUGCAUGUUUUGAUUUAGUUCGUUUCAGAUACGACAUGACAUGAAGAGUUGACAGUCGAACAGAGCUGAGCAAAGCAGAAAGGUAAGUGUGUUUCAUUUUAGUAUGAACACUUGUAUUUUGUUUUUAUAUGGUAUGUUUUGUGCAUGCUAUGUUUCAGGUGUACUUGUAGUCAGCGACGAAGACGAUUCAAGAAGAGGAACAUUGCUGAGAAAGUGAAUGGGACUUGCAAACAGGAUUCAAGUUUCUGGUGUAGACAGAAAAAUGUGUUUGAAGAAGGAAUUCUACUACUGUGAUUCAACUCUACAGAAGCAAGGUAAGUAGAAACAAAAUUUUGGUUUAAUUUAACUCAUGUGUUUUGCACUGCAUGCUAUUUUUCAGGUCUCUCAUGCAGUGAUGCAAAAGAAGAAGAUUUCAAGAAAGAAUCACUGCUGCAACUCAGGCCUAUAACAAGGUAAGUGUUUACUAUAUUGUAUACAAAAUGUUUCUCUGUUUUACUCUGUUUGAAGGUUUCAAUUGCAGAGAUGUUGCAGAGAUGUUUUGACAGCUUGUGACAGAAAAGAAAUUCAGCAGCUGUGUCUCGACUCUAGCCACGAGGUAAGUCAAAACAAAUAUACUGGUUUGUAUGUUAUGUUGUUAUGCCCUUCUAUGUUUCAGACUUACAUUGCUGUGACUGUUCCACAGUGGGUCAAAAAAGAGACGAAUACAGGCUUCAAGAAGAAAAUUGGCUGUUGAAAACCUGCACAAAAUAUGAGGUAAGUAAACUAUUCUUUUGGUUUGUUUUGUGCUUUGUUAUGCUUAACUAUUUUUCAGAUUGGAAUGGUGGGUCGUUACAGAGCAGACUUUUGGACAACUGAGAAGUUGAGAAACAGAGAAUGAUUCAAGAUCAGCUAGGUAAGUCUUGAUUAUUGUGCAUUGCUAAAUGUUUUUUUUCAUUCCAGUAUGGCUGUGGUAAGUACACAAACUUUCUAUAAUUUAAUAUUGAACUGUUUUUAUGACCUGUAUUCUGCAUUGUAAAAUGUCUGUUUUUCAUUUCAGUAUCCUGUGGUAAGUACACUAACUUUCUUUAAUUUUCAUAUUGAACUGUUUUGAUGACUUGUAUACUACUAUGCAAUGCCUAAUGUUUUUUUCAUUUCAGUAGCCUGUUGGUAAGUACACUAACUUUCUAUAAUUUCAUAGUGAAUUGUUUUGAUGACCUGUAUUCUGCAUUGUAAAAUGUGUUUCUUUUUCAUUUCAGUAUGGCUGUGGUAAGUACAAU